rnacentral:rRNA from 1 species
AAAGGGAGCGUAGGCGGAUGUUUAAGUCAGAGGUGAAAGCCCAGGGCUCAACCUUGGAACUGCCUUUGAUACUGGGCAUCUUGAGUGUGGGAGAGGUAAGCGGAACUCCGAGUGUAGAGGUGAAAUUCGUAGAUAUUCGGAAGAACACCAGUGGCGAAGGCGGCUUACUGGCCCAUUACUGACGCUGAGGCUCGAAAGCGUGGGGAGCAAACAGGAUUAGAUACCCUAGU